rnacentral:rRNA from 1 species
GACGAACGCUGGCGGCGUGCCUAAUACAUGCAAGUUGAGCGAUGAAGAUUGGUGCUUGCACCAAUUUGAAGAGCAGCGAACGGGUGAGUAACGCGUGGGGAAUCUGCCUUUGAGCGGGGGACAACAUUUGGAAACGAAUGCUAAUACCGCAUAACAACUUUAAACAUAAGUUUUAAGUUUGAAAGAUGCAAUUGCAUCACUCAAAGAUGAUCCCGCGUUGUAUUAGCUAGUUGGUGAGGUAAAGGCUCACCAAGGCGAUGAUACAUAGCCGACCUGAGAGGGUGAUCGGCCACAUUGGGACUGAGACACGGCCCAAACUCCUACGGGAGGCAGCAGUAGGGAAUCUUCGGCAAUAGACGAAAGUCUGACCGAGCAACGCCGCGUGAGUGAAGAAGGUUUUCGGAUCGUAAAACUCUGUUGGUAGAGAAGAACGUUGGUGAGAGUGGAAAGCUCAUCAAGUGACGGUAACUAACCAGAAAGGGACGGCUAACUACGUG